GUGGGAGCGGGCUUGCUCGCGAAGGCAUCGUGUCAGUCAGCACUUUUGUUGCUGAUACACCGCAUUCGCGAGCAGGCUCGCUCCCAC
rnacentral:antisense_RNA from 1 species